CAUUAAAUGGCUGAAAGCAAGCAUAGGUCUCUUAAACCUCUAAAUAGUAAAUUAGCACUUACUUUUAAUGA
rnacentral:tRNA from 1 species